rnacentral:rRNA from 1 species
CCUUGGCGGGGUGCUAUAAUGCAGUCGAACGGGGAGUUUUGCUUCGGUAAGACUCCGAGUGGCGAACGGGUGAGUAACGCGUAGGUGACCUACCCCGGAGUGAGGGAUAACAGUUCGAAAGGGCUGCUAAUACCCCAUGGAGUUAGGAAGGUUAGAGGCUUUCUAACGAAAGGAGUGUACUGAGAGGUGCACUUCGCUGCGGGAGGGGCCUGCGUCCCAUCAGUUAGUUGGUAGGGUAAUGGCCUACCAAGGCGACGACGGGUAGGGGACCUGAGAGGGUGACCCCCCACACUGGCACUGAAACACGGGCCAGACACCUACGGGUGGCAGCAGUAGGGAAUAUUGCACAAUGGGCGCAAGCCUGAUGCAGCAACGCCGCGUGCACGAUGAAGGCCUUCGGGUUGUAAAGUGCUUUUCUGGAGGACGAGACAGGACGGUACUUCAGGAAUAAGGAUCGGCUAACUACGUGCCAGCAGCCGCGGUAACACGUAGGAUCCGAGCGUUAUCCGAAUUUACUGGGCGUAAAGCGCGUGUAGGCGGCAAGGUAAGUUGGACGUGAAAUCUCCUGGCUCAACUGGGAGGGGUCGUUCAAGACUGCCUGGCUAGAGGGCGGUAGAGGGAGGUGGAAUUCCCGGUGUAGUGGUGAAAUGCGUAGAUAUCGGGAGGAACACCAGUGGCGAAGGCGGCCUCCUGGGCCGCACCUGACGCUCAGACGCGAAAGCUAGGGGAGCGAACGGGAUUAGAUACCCCGGUAGUCCUAGCUGUAAACGAUGUGGACUUGGCGUCGGCGGGGUCAAACCUGCCGGUGCCGCAGCCAACGCGCUAAGUCCACCGCCUGGGGACUACGGCCGCAAGGUUAAAACUCAAAGGAAUUGACGG